rnacentral:rRNA from 1 species
AUUGAACGCUGGCGGCAUGCCUUACACAUGCAAGUCGAACGGCAGCGGGGGAGAAGCUUGCUUUUCCUGCCGGCGAGUGGCGAACGGGUGAGUAAUACAUCGGAACGUGCCCUGUAGUGGGGGAUAACUAGUCGAAAGAUUAGCUAAUACCGCAUACGACCUGAGGGUGAAAGUGGGGGACCGCAAGGCCUCAUGCUAUAGGAGCGGCCGAUGUCUGAUUAGAUAGUUGGUGGGGUAAAGGCCUACCAAGGCGACGAUCAGUAGCUGGUCUGAGAGGACGAACAGCCACACUGGGACUGAGACACGGCCCAGACUCCUACGGGAGGCAGCAGUGGGGAAUUUUGGACAAUGGGCGAAAGCCUGAUCCAGCAAUGCCGCGUGUGUGAAGAAGGCCUUCGGGUUGUAAAGCACUUUUGUCCGGAAAGAAAUGGCUCUGGUUAAUACCUGGGGUCGAUGACGGUACCGGAAGAAUAAGGACCGGCUAACUACGUGCCAGCCGCCGCAGUAA